rnacentral:misc_RNA from 1 species
GAGUCUCAGGGACAGUCUUUCAGGUACUUUUGUUAACCAUACUGAUGCUUCAGCUUGAUACUUCAUGAAUAGUCGCAUGGAAUAUUCUAUCUUAUAGUAAUAAUUUAUGGUUCAUGGGAACUUGUGAGACUAAAUCCUUUCAUCCAACCAAAAAAGAGAAGAGUGACUUUGUUCAGACCAAUAUUAUUAGAAUGUCUUAAUCAGAAUAUAGUAGGGGAAUAAAUCUACUUAUCAAGGCUUUCAUUCUUUCUGGAUAAUGAUCUAUGAUUAUAUUCAAGUGAAUAUUUCUCUUUGAGACAAUGCUAAUCCCUUACUUGUUUCUUCUUUCCCAUACAAGCAGGGAAGUCGGGAACCAGGUUGGACUGGAUUAGGAGACUUAAAAUAGCCCUUGGUUCAGCCAGAGGUC